rnacentral:lncRNA from 1 species
ACGACAACGCCGGUGUAGAAAUGAAGUUGGAGGAGGGAAGCCGCCGAUCCAACCAUCCACACGUCUGGUAUGUCGGUGGCGCGUACAACAAAUCUGCUCUCCUCUCAGCCACCGUGAACAUCCACCUCCAGCGUUCCCUCUCUCCAGAUCUCGCCAACCACCACCAGCUGCACAGGCGCGACAAAGACCCAGUCGCCAGCAGCACUUUGGUCACACUGUCGAGCGCCUGAAACAGAGAAGGAGAGGGAA